rnacentral:rRNA from 1 species
AAACCAGCACCUCAAGUGGUCAGGAGGAUUAUUGGGCCUAAAGCAUCCGUAGCCUGUUCUGUAAGUUUCCGGUUAAAUCCAUUAGCUCAACUAAUGGGCUGCCGAAAAUACUGUAGAACUAGGGAGUGGGAGAGGUAGACGGUAUUCGGUAGGAAGGGGUAAAAUCCUUUGAUCUAUUGAGGACCACCUGUGGCGAGGGCGGUCUACCAGAACACGUUCGACGGUGAGGGAUGAAAGCUGGGGGAGCAAACCGGAUUAGAAACCCCGGUAGUCC